AGAUGUGGUUAAGUCCGCAACGAGCGCAACCCCUACUUGUUAGUUGCCAUCAUUCAGUUGGGCACUCUAGCGAGACUGCCGGUAAUAAACCGGAGGAAGGUGGGGAUGACGUCAAAUCAUCAUGCCCCUUAUGACCUGGGCUACACACGUGCUACAAUGGUUGGUACAACGAGUUGCGAGUCGGUGACGGCGAGCUAAUCUCUUAAAGCCAAUCUCAGUUCGGAUUGUAGGCUGCAACUCGCCUACAUGAAGUCGGAAUCGCUAGUAAUCGCGGAUCAGCACGCCGCGGUGAAUACGUUCCCGGGCCUUGU
rnacentral:rRNA from 1 species